rnacentral:lncRNA from 1 species
CAGUCACCCAGGGGAAUCUACAUGUUUAAGCUUUCAUACCCUGUUCGGUUUCUUGUAGAACUCACUCAACACCUGGAGUGGAUUAAAUAGAUGAUGUAGAUUUCAACUGCUUAGAAAUAUCCAUUUCUGCCACAUUUCCUGCUGCCUGUUUUACUUCUGUGGAGUUAUUUAGUUGUCAUGUUGGAUGAGUCUGAGCUAUUUUCCCAGCACGCUGUACUAUAGUGUGAGUGCACCUUCUAGGGAAAAGGGCACAGACUGAACAACUUAUCAUCAGAAUCUGUGUUGACUGAAGGAAGGAUGGCAACAGAUUCCUGUCAGAUGAUUUUGCCUCAGACAAUUUGGCUGUGAAUGCUCAAAGAAUGAGGAAUAAGUACCCAGGGCAUAGAGCAUAAAGAGCCAAGGAAAUUUUUUUGAGCUAUUGACAUCUUUUAACAAGUUACUAUACUCCUAUGAACAAAAUUUGGAACAUAUUUGUUUCUCUCUACCUGAUUUCUCCAGAAUUUGGAAACUACUU